CUUCUCCCACACCUGAACUUGUGGUGUGGAGCUUUAGCAGCUGAGCACAGGGAAGAGAGGCUGCUGGUACAUUGACUUAACACUUGUAACCAGCUCCAGCCUGCCUGGCCUUGAGUUUGAACUGAAAGGGCUGUGGCUUAGUUGAGCCUGGCCACAGCUUCUUCCCUAUUUUGGGUCUGCAUGGGGACUUCUUUGGAUGAGUAAAGCUGGAGGGAUGAGUAAGUCAGCUUGUCUGAUUUGACCUCUGAAUGGCAUUUUGCUCCUUGGAUGAGCACAGCAGAAGAAAGAAGGUGCAGAUCAUGGGAAAGUGUCACUGAAGCUGUGAUGGAGAGAGAAAACCACUCAUCCACAACAUAUAUCCACACAAGCAUGAGGCUGUUAGAGACAAUAAAUUCUAUGAAAGCAGCUUUGUAAAAAGUCAUGGGACAGCUGGGAAAAUGAUGAUGCUAAUAAAACCACAGAGUCACCAUGGGGCAGCUGGAAGGGAAGAGAUGUUUAGUAGAUGGUUUUCUCUUCUCUGGGCCAGAAUUUCUCCAUGCUGAAGAGGUAUUCCAGUAUUAAUUCAAAGUGCUUCCUGCUACGGUGACAGUUUUGGUUUUGUCUUCUGUCAACACCCACACAACUCAACAACUGCUUCUUGAUAGAAGUAACCAUUAAGGACUUGAACUGUCUCACACUCCACAGGCACAGGACUAGCUCCCCAGACACUGUGGAAGAAGAUACUCAGAUGGUUACUCAAAGUCUUUUCUUGGCUGGAAGUUUUGUACAGCCCCAGGAAACAAACACAGAGGAGGGCAUGGAAAAGCAGCAGACGUUUAAAGUGCUGUCACAUGCCUCUUUCCCAUUCUCUGAAACCCUGCUUUUGUACACUGCUCCUUCUUUAUGAGGCAAAAGCUGCAGGGAGAGAGUGCAGGGGGUGGGAGUGCCUUUCGCUUCACUGAGGAACUGACUUCUCUCUGCCCUUCUCCAUGGAAGAAUGGGAAACCUCCAGAGGAAUCCAAAGGGAUGUGCAGCCCCAGGACAAGCUAUAGCUAAAAUACAACACGCUGCACAACGUAGGAAACGUAGCAGGAGCAGGCGUGCACUAAAUCAUGUCCAUUAGUGGGAAAGACUUUUCUGCUGGGCUCUGCAGAUUUACUGCUCGGCCAUGGGGGGCUCAU